rfam:Brachypodium distachyon strain Bd21 chromosome 1, whole genome shotgun sequence.
CCAAUACUCUCUUCAUCCAACAAAAGAUGUCUCAAGUUUGUUAAAAUUUGGAUGUAUCUAAACAUGACAUGGUGUAUAAGUGCAUUCAAAUUUAAUCAAAGUUGAGACAUCCUUUGUUGGACGGAAAGAGUAUAUG